UUUCAUGUCCGUGAUAUGAAAGCGCCUAAAGCUUCUAGGUCGAAAUUCCAAUCACGAACUUCUCGGUUCACCACCUUCCACGAACGCCUUCGACUGUAUGACAAAAAAAAAACUCAUGGCUCGAACGUCAACUUCUCCAUACGCAUCAACAUCGUCUCGUCGAUCCAGGAUGAACGUGAAGGAAUGUAAAUCGUGCGGCCAAGAGUGAGCUUGGUUCAAUGUUCCACCUCCUCAAUUCUAGGUUAGGAACGAGGACUCAAAAGGGCGCCAGGAAAUAGACGCCUAUGGGUUCAUCAUGUAACUGUUCAAACAUCGGAAUCGCCACCAUCGGAGGUUCUCAUUUGCGCACGGUACGAAGGAUGCAUGAAUCGUGAAUGAAGCGAAAGAUUCAAAAUAAAAGACUCACUGAAAUGAAGUUUCCGUCGCAAUUUAACAACGUUUCACGUAUUCGCGUUGUACAAUCAAUCGGGGCUCGCAUUCAUCCAUCAUCACCGCAAUUCAAAAAUUCGGAAAUUCACAAAUUCGAUUUACCCUACUACGCGCGCAAAUAGAAGGAGAAAAUGAAGAGCGUGAAUCAGAGACUCACCAGGUUUUGCUCAUGUAGAAUUCAAAUGAACUUCAGCCAUUAGUUACCCUUUGCAUAUGUAAUGAAAUUCUACUUUCAGUGAGAUGAAUGUGGUUAGUCGUGCUGAAAAAUCAUGUUUCCGUUUCAAACUGUUGGAAGGUUUUUGUAUGGGUAGGAGCUGAAGUCAGAGUUUGUUAUGAAAAAAGGAAGUGAAGUUUUUGUUUUUGAAUUUUUGGUUCAGUCAGUUUGUUAUGUUGAUUGCAAUUCCUGAUGGUUGAUUCCUUUCUUUUCUGUGUUUAUUUUGUAGGAACGAUUUGUCAUUCUCUUCAUUUGCAUAUCAUCACCUGGUUUUUCAGAACAGACCCGGAGAGCUGAAUGUCACCUUUUAGAUGAAAUGUUGGUUUCUCACUCACGACAGCCAUGUGUUUGUUAUCCUCAUAUGAAGAACCUAUCAAAUGAUUUUUAUCAAUGCUAUUGUAUUUUCUUGAAGUGUAGAAAUCAUCCUCUUGGCUAUCAAUUCGACACUUCAUUUCAGAAGAGGUCUCAUGUACAUAAUCUACAAAUAGAAUUCUCUAAACAACAAGGUUAUCACUUGAGUUGGGUGGCUAAUGUAAGGCUGAUUUGGGGAUGCUUGGAACACGCUUCGGUCACAUUGUAGUCUUGUAUUGGAAACUUGGUUGUAAUUGGAAAGAAUGUAAAUGUAAUUGGAAUAUGGUUUGAAAUUGUGUAUAAAUUUGGUUUAAUGUUUAUAAAUCUUGUCACUUUGAGAA